rnacentral:lncRNA from 1 species
GGGGAAGCCAUAGUUAGGGUUUUCAAGCUUCCAAGCUCCAUAGUAAGUGAUCCCAAGUCCCGUUUUUAAUGUUCUUUACGUUUUUUAGAUCCCAGUAGCUUAAUUUAGCUUAUUCUAGCAAUAAUUUAACCUAGGGUUUAUAUUUGGAAAAAUACCCAUAGGUGAAAAGUGUUUAUUUUGAUGUUUUAUGAUAGAAUAUGAAGCUAGAAAUUAUGUUAAACAACUUUUGCUAAGCGAUUUUAAGUGAAAACNNNNNNNNNNNNNNNNNNNNNNNNNNNNNNNNNNNNNNNNNNNNNNNNNNNNNNNNNNNNNNNNNNNNNNNNNNNNNNNNNNNNNNNNNNNNNNNNNNNNGUAAAACGACAUAAUCGGUAAAAAUACCUAAUGUUCAUAAGUACAUGUUAGAGUGGGAAUUUGAUGUUGCCAUAGAAGGGAAAAAUGUUCAGAAUGUUAUAAAACAUAAGAAUAAGAGAUGAAGUUUAAUUUCCGAGCCUUGGGGCAAAAAUAUAAUUAUGUAAAAGUUUAGGGGUAAAAUUGUAAUUUUAAAAAAGUUAGAGUCGUGGGCUGUUUUGAUGAAUGUGAUUAUUAAAUAAGUUAAAUUUACUAUUUUAGAUCAAGAAGUACGAAACUUGAGGUUAGGCAAAGGGAAGAAUAAAGUUGAAGACUAAGUUGGUGAAUUUGGUUAUAAUUGGCACCGAGGUAAGUUUACGGUAAAUAAAUGCAAUAUUUCAAUAUUUAUUAUUAAUGCUGUUAAUUUCCAGCAAUUAUGAAUUUAUUUUAUGAAUUUAUUUGAUGAUGAUCCAAGCAUGAAAUGAUAGAGAAUUAAAAUUUAAAAGUCCCGUUGAUACAUAAGGAUGAUACUGGAUACGAAUGUCAUGACAUUUGGGUAAAGAGAUCCCAUGUAAGACCAUAUCUGGGACAUGGCAUUGGCAUCCUUAAGAUCAUGAGAGGUCCCCUGUAAGACCAUGUUUGGGACAUGGCAUGGGCACCGAGACGAGAGGUCCCAUGUAAGACCAUGUCUGGGACAUGGCAUUGGCACCGAGAUGAGAGGUCCCCUAUAAGACCAUGUCUGGGACAUGGCAUGGGCACCAACAUGAGAACAUCCCAUGUAAGACCAUGUCUGGGACAUGGCUUUGGCAUGUUAUUAUCAGAAGAGACCCGAGUAUCCUUAUUAUUCCAAUGUAGCUCAACGGGCUUGUAAACGAAUCAUGUUCAUGAAAGUUCAGUUUAAAGCAUAAAUGGCAAGCUCAGGUAAGUUGUAAGACUUAAGAACUUCUUAUACUAUAAAUUGAUGUUCAACGAUGCAGCAAGAGUUGAGUAAGUUAUGCACACAAGUAUUCUAAGUAAACAAGUAAGAGAACUAGUAUGAGAUUAACUAAAGAGUAAACUAGAGAUAUAGACAUUGAGUUUAAUUAUUUAAGUUAAAUAUUGUUAUUUAUUUGCUAGUAAACUUACUAAGCUUUAUGCUUACGUCUUUUAUUUCUCUUUCUCUUAUAGUAUUACAAUGCUACUUCAAGGAUCCUAAAGAAGUCGGAGAUCGUCCACACUAUCAACCACAACUGCUCGGUAUUUUAUGUCGAAACACGUUUGAGUUAUGGCAUGUAUAGGGAUUUAGUUAUUCUAAAUGUUUGUAUUUAUGAUCUUGCUAAAGAAUGAUGUGUAAGUAUUUGAUGAUGAAUGGUUGCUAAAAUGGUUAAGUAUGGAAGUGUUUGUUGUUAUAAAAGUUUAGGUGAUAAACUAUGCAUGGAAAUCAUAAAAGGGUAAAAUUUUGCAAAGAAACAGAAUUUAGACAGCACUGUGACGUGACUUUGAAAAAUCAUCUAGGAUGAUAUAAAAUGAAUUAGAGGAUGAAUGAUAUAUGGAAUUAAAUCUUGUUGAGUCUAUUUUCAUGGAAAAAUAACAGUGUAGCAAAAGGAAAUUUAUAUUUUAAGAUAUGUAAAUUUUAGUAAAAUAGGGUCAGAACUGUUUUUGGAGUCCCCUGUUCUGAGUUUAGAAAAUAAUUAAAAAUUGUACAAAAAUGGUUAUGAGUUGAAAUUUACAUGCUUAGAUUCCUUAAUGAGUCUAUUUUCUGUAGGAAUAAGUGGGAAUAGCAUAUGAAAAUCCUAUAAUGAGAAAAGUUAUUUUUAGUAACAAGAGGCCAGAAUAGUUUAAUGGUGAAAAAGGGGAGACUUUAACUAAUAAACUGUACUAAUUGGCUGAACCAAAAAUUCUAAAAAUUUUAUGGUAGGAAGAUAUAUGAGUCUAGUUUCAAGGAAAAUUUACGGAGUUAAAUUUUGAGUUCCGUAGCUCAAGUUAUAAUUAAUUUAGUGACUGCUGCGCAAUUGGACAGAUUUGCUGUAAAUAGUGAAAAUAAUUUGCAAAAGUAAAUUUUUAUGCUUCGAAUUAGUAAGAUAAGUUAAGUAAUGCCUCGUGCUCGACUCUGGAAACGGUCUCGGGUAAGGGGUGUUACAGUAUUGGUUAGGAUAUGUGUAUCUAUUCGAGUUUGAGUCAUGUUAAUAGGGGAUACAAAUUGUGAAUUGGUUAAAUGAUACUCGAAAUGAUUCAAUAUUAUGAAAUUGUACCACAUGUACAUAUAUACAAUAUAUGAUUAUCGAUAGCAUGUGAAAGACCAUGCGAACCGGUUAAACGAUCUUGAGGCCCGAUUUGGAAAGUUAGCAAAUGAAUUGAUUCGAUAUCGAAAAUAAAAAAUAGGAUAUGAUUGGAUGUGUUCAAUUGAAUAGAAAUGUAAACACUAAUGACAUUGGUAUGAUACGUGCAUCUAGUUUUCUUAAUUGAGGCAAUGUAUAGUUGUUUCCUUUUACAUAAUUAGUGUUCUUUGUGGUAUAUAUACAUAUUGGUAUAUGAUUGCGGAUUAUCAUGAAUUGUAUAUGUAUUGCUUGAUAUUUUAAUUUGAGAUUGAAUGUAUGUAAUAGAUAUAAACUUGUAUUGCACUAACUUGAAUCAUGGAAAUACCACUGAGUAUUAUCGCUCAAUGUAUGGUUUGUUUUCCUAUGCGUAGGUAUAGGCACAUUUCAAGGUUCCAAGAAGUGAUUCCAGCAUCCAACCAGAGAUUCUCGACUCAACAAUGUUUGUAUAAUCUCUUUUUGGUUCAUUAUAUGACAUGUACCUAGGUUGGGUCGAUUUUGUAUAUGGUAUGAACUUGUUAACUUUGGA